AACGAACGCUGGCGGCAGGCUUAACACAUGCAAGUCGAACGCCCCGCAAGGGGAGUGGCAGACGGGUGAGUAACGCGUGGGAACAUACCCUUUCCUGCGGAAUAACUCUGGGAAACUGGAAUUAAUACCGCAUACGCCAUACGGGGGAAAGAUUUAUCGGGGAAGGAUUGGCCCGCGUUGGAUUAGCUAAUUGGUGGGGUAAAGGCCUACCAAGGCGACGAUCCAUAGCUGGUCUGAGAGGAUGAUCAGCCACAUUGGGACUGAGACACGGCCCAAACUCCUACGGGAGGCAGCAGUGGGGAAUCUUGCGCAAUGGGCGAAAGCCUGACGCAGCCAUGCCGCGUGAAUGAUGAAGGUCUUAGGAUUGUAAAAUUCUUUCACCGGGGACGAUAAUGACGGUACCCGGAGAAGAAGCCCCGGCUAACUUCGUGCCAGCCGCCGCUGUAAAAC
rnacentral:rRNA from 1 species